GCCAUACUAAGGCGCAAUGCGGGUCAAAGUAAACGAUGAUACUUCGCCGACUCUAGGCUAGAAUGGCCAGCAAAAGACAGAAUUGUGCCUGACCGGGAUCUUGUUUCUGGCCAGGUUUAUU
rnacentral:sRNA from 1 species